UCUUCAUUUCGCACACUCUCUC
rnacentral:miRNA from 1 species